UAAAUGGGAUCGUGGGAAAAAAAAAUCAGGCCAUUUGAAAAAAAAAAAUUAAGAAUUUAUAAAUCCCUAAAUCCACUCUCACAUACCACGAUUUCCUCUUCCUUUACCUUUAUUCAUGAUCAGAUUCAAAUCAAAAUAUCCCACGAUCUCAAUUCUUUGUUUUUCACGAUCCUUAAAAGAACUUCCCACUUUCAUCAACUGAUCUUCACAAACUAUAUAUAUCACAACCAAUUAUCAUAAUCAACUCACCUACGAAAAGCCACCAUCAAAUCUGUAAAAAAGUUGCAAUUAGUUUUACGAACAGAACAGUGUUCGAUCAGAUCUCAGAACCAACCUUCAUGUUCCACCGUCCAACCCGAUCCGUCAAUAAUUCCCAUUUCAUUGUUUGUUAAUUCAAUCCAUCCUUUGACUGCUUCCAUUUUCUUCUUUUGAUACUCAAAAGGUAUUAUUGUGUUUGAAACUUGAUUUCAUGAGGUGAGAUAACGACAAUGAACAAUAGAAAAGAAUUCAGCAUUUCCAGACAUCCAUGUCAGAUCUUGAAACUACAACUCAAUGACUUUAGGUCUUGCAGUCUUUUUUUAUCCACGACUCAAAAGUUGCCUCCAGUCAUGGUUGAACUUAUGUUCACAAGUGACAGAAGAAGUAUUCAUUUCAAAGAGGAUAUUAGAACUUAUAACUGGAUUUUUGAAUUCAAUUCUGUGGGAGGUACAUCCGAGAAUAUGAUACAUAUUUAUGUGUAAAACUCAAGGUAUUUCCAGCUCAAAGAUGUUCCAUCUAUCUUGAUGAUUUUUACUAAAGCUAAUCUAUGGUUUUCUUGCCAAACUUUUAUGGAUUGUAAAUAUAAUAUCAUGUAUUUUGUAUUUAUUUAGUCUACAGUUUCAUGCUUAGUACGAUUCAACUAUUUGUGUUUUAUCAUUAGUUAACAAAAAAGGUUGUCUUAAAAGGUAUUAGUAAAACCAAAGGAUUUGAGUUUGCAUUUUUUUACAU